UGGUAAUAUAUUUAUUUAUAUAUUGUAUCAGACUACAUCAGGCAUAGUGCUACAUUAUAAUUAUAUUAAUUAUUGGAUGUUAUUGAAUGAUUUAUAAAAGUCACUCACGCAUCACAAGAAAAGUUUGAAAACUUAAGAAAUAAUAACAACUACUAUACAAAAUAAAAAUGUUUUAUGUUGUUCAUGUUGACAAUUGGUUUCAAUCUAUCCCAGAAAACUGAGUAGAUAAAGAAAAAAAAUUGUCUACUGGCCUACUGAAAAAAAUUCCAUAAUUACAACAUGGAUAAAGAAACAAAUAUCAUGUAAAUCAGAGUGGACAAAAUACGAUUAUGCUUGUUUGUUUGAGCCAUUUGAAAAUUAUCAGGAGUGCAAAAAUUUUGAAAGCCAGUGCACAGGGUAUUCUUCCCAAGACGAAGUAUUAUACGACAAUUUAAAAAAAAAUAAUGAGUUGUCCCAAAAGCGAUCUCGAAAAAAAAAUCCAAAAUUUGAUGAAACUGAAAAUGAAGAAAUCUCUUCAGAAUUUGAAGAUGACAAUGAUAGUGAUGAUUUGGAUUUGGAAAAUCCAGCAGAAGAAUUGCCUGUACACAAUACUAAACCGAUUAUCAUUUCACUUGAUACCAGGAAUAAUCUAGUUGAUGACGUUAAUGAAAAUGACAUAAACAUUUCCAACAUUUGUG